CCUACGGGCGGCAGCAGUGGGGAAUAUUGCACAAUGGGCGCAAGCCUGGUGCAGCCAUGCCGCGUGUGUGAAGAAGGCCUUCGGGUUGUAAAGCACUUUCAGCGGGGCGGAAGGCGGUGAGGUUAAUAACCUCAUCGAUUGACGUUACCCGCAGAAGAAGCACCGGCUAACUCCGUGCCAGCAGCCGCGGUAAUACGGAGGGUGCAAGCGUUAAUCGGAAUUACUGGGCGUAAAGCGCACGCAGGCGGUCUGUCAAGUCGGAUGUGAAAUCCCCGGGCUCAACCUGGGAACUGCAUUCGAAACUGGCAGGCUAGAGUCUUGUAGAGGGGGGUAGAAUUCCAGGUGUAGCGGUGAAAUGCGUAGAGAUCUGGAGGAAUACCGGUGGCGAAGGCGGCCCCCUGGACAAAGACUGACGCUCAGGUGCGAAAGCGUGGGGAGCAAACAGGAUUAGAUACCCGUGUAGUC
rnacentral:rRNA from 1 species